rfam:Trichobilharzia regenti genome assembly, scaffold: TRE_scaffold0104101
AUUCAGAUGACGAGUCCCAAACAGGACGAAAUGCGCAUCCUGGAU